rnacentral:lncRNA from 1 species
GGGUUGAAAGAUGUAGGAAGUAGAUCAAAAAAAAAUGUUGCUUCAAGACUCGAAAUCUGAAGUAAAGUGAAUCGAUUUGAGUGAGAUUGGACUGGAGCAAUUCUUGCGUUCUGGCAAAAACUCUUUCAAUCUGCAAAAUCAGUUAAGAAACUGAAUGAGGAUCCUCCAGUUCUUGAUCCUCCGAUACUUAAGUCAAUUUGAGCCUUGAGAACAAAGAUGGAAAAGAAUGGAAGAGUAAAAAAAUUGGAUAGAACUGGAUGAGAACUAAAUAGAAACCAAGAAUCUGGCUUAAUUUCCUACUAGUAGAGUUUUUUCCUAGUUUCAGAGAGCAAAACUUACCGAUGAAGAAUUUCUGACCCUCUAUUUAUAGAGGAGAUGAUGAAGCCGUUCCAGUAUUUGUCAGGUGGUUAGAGAGCUACCAGUAGAUGAGCUGGCGUACAGCUGUGCAUAUGAAUAUUUCUGAGACCGUGGCCAACUGUGGCCUAAUUGAGGAAACC